rnacentral:rRNA from 1 species
GACGAACGCUGGCGGCGUGCUUAACACAUGCAAGUCGAACGGAAAGGCCCUUCUGGGUACUCGAGUCGCGAACGGGUGAGUAACACGUGGGUGAUCUGCUCUGCACUUUGGGAUAAGCCCGGGAAACUGGGUCUAAUACUGAAUAGUACCACGCGCUUCAGGGUGUGUGGGGGAAUGCUUUUGCGGUGUUGGAUGGGCGCGGGGCCUAUCAGCUUGUUGGUGGGGGAAUGGCGUACCAAGGCGACGACGGGUAGCCGGCAUGAGAGGGUGACCGCCCACAAUGGGCCUGCGAGACGGAGCAGAGUCGUAUAGGGGACAGCAGUGGGGAGUAUUGUACAGCGAGGGCGCGUCUGAUGCAGAGACGUCGCGUGAGGGAAGACGGCCUACGGGUUGGAAAGCUCAUUAAGUUGAGACGAAGCGGAAGUGACGGUACCUACAGAAGAAGCACCGGCUAACUACGUG